rnacentral:rRNA from 1 species
AGAGUUUGAUCCUGGCUCAGGGUGAACGCUGGCGGCGCGCCUAAUACAUGCAAGUCGAACGAGAAGCUGGAUUUAUUCAGUGGAAAGUGGCGGACGAGCGAGUAACACGUAAGUAGUUGCCCCGUACUCAGGGAUAACAUGGUGAAAAUCAUGCUAAUACCGGAUAGUCUCGUAAGAGUAAAGCUUUUGCGGUACGGGAGACGCUUGCGGCUUAUCAGCUAGUUGGUGGGGUAAAGGCCCACCAAGGCUAUGACGGAUAGCUGGUGUGAGAGCAUGACCAGCCGCGAUGGGACUGAGACACGGCCCAAACUCCUACGGGAGGCAGCAGUAAGGAAUCUUCCGCAAUGGACGAAAGUCUGACGGAGCGACACCGCGUGAAGGAUGAAGGCCCUCGGGUCGUAAACUUCUUUUCUGGGGGAAGAAAAUCUGACGGUACCCCAGGAAUAAGCCCCGGCUAAUUACGUGCCAGCAGCCGCGGUAAUACGUAAGGGGCAAGCGUUACCCGGAAUUAUUGGGCGUAAAGCGUCCGCAGGUGGUUUGGUAAGUCUGUUAUUAAAUACCGGUGCUCAACAUCGGUGCUGUAAUGGAAACUACCUCACUAGAGGAUGGGAGAGGAGUAUGGAAUUGUGCAAGUAGGGGUAAAAUCCGUAGAUAUGCACAGGAACACCAAAAGCGAAGGCAAUAUUCUGGCCCAUUCCUGACACUCAGGGACGAAAGCGUGGGGAGCGAAACGGAUUAGAUACCCGUGUAGUCCACGCCGUAAACGAUGCUCGCUCGAUGUAGGAACCCUCGACCUGGUUUCUGUGUCUAAGCUAACGCGUUAAGCGAGCCGCCUGUGUAGUACGAUCGCAAGAUUAAAACACAAAGGAAUAGACGGGGGCCCACACAAGCGGUGGAUUAUGGGGUUUAAUUCGUCAAUAAGCGAGUAACCUUACCUAGACUUGACAUCCUUAUCAUACCUUUUGGAGACAA